UUGCUAAUCCGAAAGUAUAAGAGGUCCGCCGCCCUGUGACUAUAUGUUCAACGGCCGCGGUAUUUUGACCGUGCGAAGGUAGCGCAAUCACUUGUCUUUUAAAUGGAGACCUGUAUGAAUGGCAUAACGAGGGCUUGACUGUCUCCUCUUUCAAGUCAAUGAAAUUGAUCUCCCCGUGCAGAAGCGGGGAUAGACACAUAAGACGAGAAGACCCUAUGGAGCUUUAGACACUAAAGCAGAUCAGCAUUAAUACCCCGAACAUGGGGCACGAAUAUACUGAAUCCUGCCCUAAUGUCUUAGGUUGGGGCGACCGCGGAGAAAUAAAAAACCCCCGCAAGGACCGAAUGUACUACAUUCACAACCAAGAGCGACAGCUCUAAUUAACAGAUAUUUCUGACCAAAUAAGAUCCGGCAACGCCGAUUAAUGAACCAAGUUACCCUAGGGAUAACAGCGCAAUCUCCUCUUAGAGCCCGUAUCAACGAGGAGGUUUACGACCUCGAUGUUGAUCAGACAUCCUAAUGUGCAGCCGCUAUUAAGGUUCGUUGUCAACGAUUAAAGUCCUACGUGAUCUGAGUUCA
rnacentral:rRNA from 1 species